GAUGAACGCUGGCGGCGUGCUUAACACAUGCAAGUCGAACGUGAAAGUGGCUUCGGCCAUGAGUAAAGUGGCAGACGGGUGAGUAACACGUGGGUAACCUACCCCUUGGCGGGGAAUAACCAUUCGAAAGGAUGGCUAAUACCGCAUAAGACCACGUCCCUGAUGGGAUGGGGUAAAAGACGCAAGUCACCGAGGGAGGGGCCCGCGGCCGAUUAGCUAGUUGGUGAGGUAAUGGCUCACCAAGGCGACGAUCGGUAGCUGGUCUGAGAGGAUGAUCAGCCACACUGGUACUUAGACACGGACCAGACUCCUACGGGAGGCAGCAGUGGGGAAUAUUGCGCAAUGGACGAAAGUCUGACGCAGCAACGCCGCGUGGGUGAAGAAGGCCUUCGGGUCGUAAAGCCCUGUCAGGUGGGAAGAAACCUGCGUAAGCAGCUGACGGUACCACCAAAGGAAGCACCGGCUAACUCCGUGCCAGCCGCCGCAGUAA
rnacentral:rRNA from 1 species